GAUGGAUGACUUGGUGCAGACGCUGAUGGAGCACGGGGCCCGACCAGAUCUGCAGAAUCGCUCAGGAGAGACAGCGGUACAUUGGGCGGCCAAGUCUCCCAGUGUCGCUGCUUUGAACGCGAUUUGUGGCGAGGAUUUUUCCU
rnacentral:rRNA from 11 species